rnacentral:rRNA from 1 species
AGCGAACGCUGGCGGCAGGCCUAACACAUGCAAGUCGAACGAACUCUUCGGAGUUAGUGGCGGACGGGUGAGUAACACGUGGGAACGUGCCUUUUGGUUCGGAAUAACUCAGGGAAACUUGUGCUAAUACCGAAUGUGCCCUUCGGGGGAAAGAUUUAUCGCCAUUAGAGCGGCCCGCGUCUGAUUAGCUAGUUGGUGAGGUAACGGCUCACCAAGGCGACGAUCAGUAGCUGGGCUGAGAGGAUGACCAGCCACACUGGGACUGAGACACAGCCCAGACUCCUACGGGAGGCAGGAGUGGGUAAUCUUGCGAAAUGGGGGAAAGCCUGAAGCAGCCAUGCCGGGAGAAUGAUGAAGGUCUUAGGAUAGUAAAAUUCUUUCACCGGGGACGAUAAUGACGGUACCCGGAGAAGAAGCCCCGGCUAACUUCGUG